AGGACUUAGCUUAAUUAAAGUGCCUGGUUUGCGUCCAGUAGAUGUAGGAAUAUAGUCUUGCAGUCCUUA
rnacentral:tRNA from 1 species